AACUUCUAAAACAACAAAAGCCCUACCUCUCUUCUGUCCUUGCGGCUCCGAUGACCGCGCCAGUGUGAAUCAGAAACUGCUUAAAUUCA
rfam:Paenibacillus yonginensis strain DCY84 chromosome, complete genome.